CAAUAGCGUAUAUUAAAGUUGUUGCAGUUAAAAAGCUCGUAGUUGGAUUUCUGGCCGGGGCGACCGGUCGGCGCCCUAGCGGCGUGUGCACUGUCGUCGGCCCUGGCCAUCUGCGUUAGGACGGCCGCUGGCAUUAAGUUGUCGGCGGUCUGACUGGCGCCGUUUACUGUGAAAAAAUUAGAGUGUUUAAAGCAGGCGAUCGCUGUGAAUACAUUAGCAUGGAAUAAUGAGAUAGGACUUUGGUACUAUUUUGUUGGUUUGCGCACCAAGGUAAUGAUUAAUAGGGAUAGUUGGGGGUAUUCAUAUUCAAUUGUCAGAGGUGAAAUUCUUGGAUUUAUGGAAGAUGAACUUAUGCGAAAGCAUUUACCAAGGAUGUUUUCAUUAA
rnacentral:rRNA from 1 species